GUGUAAUACUCAGACGCGUUGCAUAGGCCUAGCAUCGAGCGAAGCUAGCCACAAGAGCCAAAGGUUGCACACCGCACACCUAUGAUCUAGCCAAGCUAUUCCCAAGCGAAGCGAAGCUAUCCCCUAGUAUAGAAAAGCUUGCCCCUAUAGUAUAGCCAAGCUAGCCCCAAGCGUAGUGAAGUUAGCCGCUAGUAUUGCGAAGCAAGCCCCUGGCGUAGCGAAGCUAGCAGCUUUUGGAGGUUCUACGCUUUCCAUUCAAGAUGGCGGACAUUGUUAUCGCUCUCAAGUUUUCAGAUGAAAGUUUCUUUGACGUUCCUACUAAAAAGAGUAUUGGGAUCGUAUACGAAGUGGUGAGUAUCUUUUAACGAUUAGUACUGAAAAUACUCUAUUAUUUAUGUAAACAUAUAUUUAUGUGUUUAGUGGGAGCAAUUUCAGACAAUGUGUAGUCGGAUUGCACAAAGGGGUGUCUUUGAACAAUUCGUAUUUAAAAUAUUCUAUUAUCGUGUUUGACAAAAUAUUCACGUGUCUAGCGAGAGGAAUUAUAACGUGUAGCCCUGACAGUAUCCUCCACUCUGCAAUCUCCACGGGUACCAGCCUCUUAGUUUUUUUGUUGUUGUUUUUUUUAGAUUUCUGCUUUCUAGUUCCAAAAGUUAUUAUCUCCAGAAACUCCAGAUACUAUAAAGCUACAGUAGAUUCCAACAAGUAAAUAGGCCAGGGAAGAUCACGAUGGAACUACUAUUCCAGAAUGGCCGAAAUCUUGGAGGGAGACCCGUCAGUCAUCCCAUCAGUGACAAUAUCAUCACUGGGGGGUGUAAAAGUAAACACUUUCUCCGAGAUCUCCAACAUCCAGCAAGGUGCCACCCCUACAAAGAGCCCUAUCAAGAACAGCAAGGAAUAUCUCAGGAGACUCCUGUGUGCAGGAAACAGAGGAGAUCCAACAAGGAAUUGUCAGAGCAGCUUCAGAGUUAUUGUGAAAGGAGCCUGGCAAUUCAGGCAGCGAUGCUGGUGGAGGAGAGAAAAAGAACAGCAUUGCUAGAGAACCUAAGGAAGAUGUAGACGAUGAUAAAGAAAAGGAGCUUCUUCAUCGCCGUGAGCACUAUCGGCAUCGUCAUCCUGGUCAUCACGAUCAACUACAACUGGACCCUGGACAGAAGGCGCACCUGGGUCCUGUGGACAAGGAAUGAACCACAACUAACAAACACAGAGACCAGCAUAUUUGAACUGAUGGACAGCUGCCUUCAACACAAGGAAUCACUCUCGACAGAAGAGUUACUCAAGGCUCGUCAAUGCCUGAAGAGGGCGACAACCGAGAUAACUCUGAUGAAAGUCAAGCAGUCAGAGACCGAUGAAGACUUCAAUCAAACCAAGGCCCUGUACCCUCUGAGUACGGAGCGAGAGACUGCGAGACGGAGAGUAGAAUCAACGCGAGAGAGGUCUUCUACUCAUCACUGCCAAGAUGGACGCACUCAGCCACGGAAACUU